rnacentral:misc_RNA from 1 species
AACGCACCUUGCGCCCUUUGGUAUUCCGAGGGGCAUGCCUGUUUGAGUGUCAUUAAAUACCAUCAACCCUCUUUUGACUUCGGUCUCGAGAGUGGCUUGGAAGUGGAGGUCUGCUGGAGCCUAACGGAGCCAGCUCCUCUUAAAUGUAUUAGCGGAUUUCCCUUGCGGGAUCGCGUCUCCGAUGUGAUAAUUUCUACGUCGUUGACCAUCUCGGGGCUGACCUAGUCAGUUUCAAUAGGAGUCUGCUUCUAACCGUCUCUUGACUGAGACUAGCGACUUGUGCGCUAACUUUUGACUUGACCUCAAAUCAGGUAGGACUACCCGCUGAACUUAA